AUGAAAUAUGAAAUAUCUUAUGCUAAGAAGAGAAAAUUCGGAAAACAGGAGUGCGCUCUGAAAAGCGUAAAAUGAGGGGUCUUUUUGCGAAACCAAACAUCCCUGCAGGCUCCACCUCCCCCAAACCCUAGCCGCCACUCGACCGCUGUUCCCCUCUUGCUCUCUCCCUUGCCCUCACGGCGGCGGCGGCAGGCCAUCGCUCGCUUUUCUCCACCAUCGACGACCAGUCCCCUUUCUCCUCCAUCGCCCCUCUCGUGCAGAUCGGAAAUGAUUUCUCCUCAUCCCGAUUUGACCUCUGGUUCGACCGAUAUGAAGCAGGCGGCGGCCGCGCCCGCGAAGAGCACCAGUUCGUGCGAGGAUGCGUCGGUGGCCAAGAGAGAUCAAGGAGGAGAUAGCUGGCGGUCACUGCGGCGGAGGGAAUCUGCCUGGAACUUGUUCGUUCUUGAUGUCAUUCUCAAGAGCACUGCAUCUAGGCAGUGGAUUUUGCUUGGAUUCGCUUGUGCUUUGACGCCGGUCUGAUGGUAUUUGGUUAAAAAAUGCCAGGUCUACUUUCUUCCCUUUCCCUUACCUCAAAUGAUUCUCUUAUGGUUUGUGGCUGGAAUGGAGCAAUCGAUUUGGUAAAAAAUGUCAGUUAGUGCAAGCUACAAGACUUGGCCUUGUGCUGCUGGAGCAGAGGUUGGCUGCCUACCACUGCUGUGUUGUGUGCUGCGACAUUUAAUCACCAAACAAGUACUAAUAAUCUACUGAUUUAUCUUAUGUUAAAUGGCAGGAACUCCUAUUAUCUAUCCUACUGUUUUUUGGGUUGCACAAUUGGAACUGUCAGAUUUUUUUUGGGUUGCACAAUUGGAACUAUCAAAGAUGGGAGGAUGUGUUGGUUGAUGUUCUAAUGCUAUCUGAUCAUCUUCUUCUCCAAUGAGAAAAAAAAAUGAAGCUGGCACUGCAACUCCUGCAAUAUAAAUCUGGGCAACCAUUCAGCCUUCAUAUAUCAUAAUGUGUUCCCAGAUUUCGAAUGAUAUGUUACACAUGAACUGAUUAGGAUGGCUAGGAGAAAUUUGGUUCUUUCUCCAGAUGAUGCAGUAACGAUAUAAUGACCUGAUAAGCAUGUACUUAUACAACAGCUAAGCAGAAAAUUGUAUUUCAUUGUUCAUAACAACUGAUUUGGCAAGCAUUUUGUGGACCUAAC